CCGCCGCCGGACAGCUCCUGGGGUGGCACCUGGGGAAGGGGUGGAUGGGCAAUGCCUUGCCAGCUUGCUCUGGGGCACCCUGUCCCUAGCUGCUAUGAGUCAUCUGAAGGGUCAUUACCUCAGGAGAGAGAGCUGGCCUUGUCUCCAGGGACAUCACCCUGAAAUCAGUGGGCAUUGCCAUAUGUUCCUCCAACGGUGAUGGGUUGACACACAGAUGAACCACUGGUGCCGGAUGUUGGAGAUUUGGAAAUGCCUCCAGCACCUGACCUGACAGCACACCCUACUGUGCUUCUUCUCGUGACUGCAUUCUUUCUCGGCCCUGCAUCCCACUGCCACUGCCCAGCAGAUGGAGUGGAUGUGAAUCAGCUUCCCAUUGCUUCAUGUGGUGGUUUCACUGAAACCUCGGCCUGGGUGCUUUGGAACCCGUGGUUAGCCCUUGAAGCCGUUAAAAGCCAGAACUCAAACCCAAUGCUAUUUAAGUCCACAGAAGUCAGAGGAGUCACCCGCCACUGUGCCAAUGCCACUGGACUGAAGCCGUGUGACCAGACUUGGAUUCACGCAGCACAGCAGCUUUUCAGUGACUUGGGGAAAUUUAUUGGGGAACAAUGCAGUGAGCUUUUGUUCUUCCACAGUCUCCUUUGGAAACUCCCUCUUUCAAGCCAGGAGGGUGAAAGACGAAGUCGUGUAUCCUUCAUGGGGAAAAUACGGAUUCCUCUAACAGCAAAUUCCAAAUCCAAGCAGACCAGGUUAUUGCCAUAGCCAAGGAACCUUGGCCUUAGCUCACACUGGGAAAUACACUGUUUAAGGUGAGAACACUGAACAGGGCAUGCUGGAGAUGUGAGUUUUCUUUGUCUUGACGAGAAGCUUUCGGAUCGAUUAGGGAGACGGAGCUCAGUGUUUCUGUUUUUGUUUUUGUUUUUUCCCCAUGUAUCAGGCAAGCAUCCCCACUAAAAGCCCAGCCAGGGCUUGUAAGACUCACUCCACAGCCCAGACAGCUAUGAGAUUCUCAAAUGAAUUAGGUUCUAGAGCCCAUGAUGUGAGCAAAACCUGACCGGAAAUGCCUGCAAACUAUCUAUAGAUUGUGUUUUCUCACUUAUCACGCAUAUUCACGUUUCACUGUGCAGAUACUUACCUGUGAGUUUGGGGAGGGAAUUACCUGAUCAUGGCAUUCAUACCUCAUUAUCUUUUUUUAAAGGGCAGAAUUUGAGGAUACACUUGUCCAGAGAGUUUGGAGAAGGGAUUGUAGACCUGAGACACAUUAAAACAUAUUUUUCUCCUGCUGCAUAAACAUCAUAUUUUAGGGGGUAGGAUAGGGUGAAGGGUGGGUCAUGGAGGGUGGCGUGCAACCAGUUGACUCAGCUCGUCAGGUGGUCUCAGUCUUUUAAAACUGACAAAGUCUAAGGUGCAAUGCAAUGUGCAUACUUAUAAACCCGGCACUGAGGAGGCUGUGGCAGGAUUGUGAGUUCAAGGCCAGCUUGGGCUACAUAAUGAAAGUCUGUCCAAACAAACAGGCAGGCAGACACAGAGCCUAAAGUAACUGGCCCCUGUUGAAACCCAGCAUUCUGUGUUUCUUCUGUCUGUCCUAUGUCAGACUCAGAACAUGAGCAACAGACAUUUUUUUACAGUCUGGACCCAGAGGCGACUGUCCUGAUGCCCUUUCCUGACUCUUCCAUGCAUGUCUAGCCACAUGGGAGAGGGAGAAUGGGUGACCCGUGUUCGACUCAUUAUGGACAAGGUUUCUAAAGGAGUGUGUGAGGGCUUAUGGAAAAUCUAGAGUCUUAAGUUCAUGUUCACGGCUUAAUUUAUAGCAUUUUCAUUCACCCAGUUAACACUACUGUGCACCUUUGGCAAUAAAGAGAGAGACCUGAACUCAAUAUUUUUCUAAACAAUGUUUCAAAGAAUCCAAGAGAUAUGAGUGGAUUUUAGAGGAAGAUUUCCAUGAUCAAGUCAGUCUAGAAAAUGAAGCACGAGAUAGAGCUGAACAGGCUUCACUAUCACAGCCUCUUCUGGGUUCUCAGCAGUCAUAUACACUAAGCAUCCAGAGGACCAUUAGCUUGAGGCCCAGCAUGCUCUGCAAUCCUUCUCAGCCCAGAUGACUUUUCUGUGAGGCUGUAAGAGUUGAGGCCUGAAUGACGAGGAAGCACGGAGCUGGAUGAUGCUACAUAGCCAUGGGAAAAUUCUCCGUCUCGCUCAGUCUCUGUGCAUGCAGGGACUUCAGACUCUUUCUGCCUUCUCUGAUUACACUGGGUAGGAGGGGGGAGUACAUGAGGUCACACGGGAAAGUGAGUGUGCUUUUGGGGGUCAUCUAAUCUUGAAUAGUAACAGCCCUUAGGAGUAAGCUCCGCUGAACCCUUGAGGUUCCUAGGCAGGCUGCCUGCUGGUGUCAGGAUGCAUGGAAUAGAGAACACCACUGCCCUCUGACCUACUGGCAUUUUGAAAGCCAUGAAUUCUUUUGACCCAAGAAUAUACAGGGAAGGGAGGAGUUCUGCUCCUGACUUAUUUUACAUUUGUACCAAGGUUGCUUCUAGAAAAAUCAGCAACCAUGCUCCAGUGUCAUAUUUUAAAAUCACUUGUUCUCCAAUGCUACUGGUCAGUUUUCCCAUGCAGAUACAACCUCGUAACUCUUCACAGGACAGCUUUGUGCUAGAGAUACAAGGAUAUGAAGGUAGGCUCUAGGUAGAUCAGAUCCUUCUCUGCUUUCUUUCUUACAUGUGACAUUACAUUGUGGCUGAACCUUGUCUUCCUGCCACGGUUGUUGUUUGGACCUGUGCAGGUGAUUAUCCCUGCUCUGUCACUGACUGGCUCUCGGAUGGGAAUUCUGUUCUGUAUCUUUGACUUUGCUGGGCCCUGGUCUCCCCAGAGGAAGACAGAGACUUAUGAGUAUUGAUGGAGAAGUAACCUGUCAGAGUGGAAAUAUUCCUGGUGUGGAAACGGCAGUGGUUGUGAAAUUACUAUUUCCCCAGCUGUCACUCAAGCAAAUAGUGUGUGUGUGAGUGUGUGUGUGUGUGUGUGUGUGAGUG